AUGGACGCCGUGCCGGAGGACCUCCGCUGCAAGCGCUCCGACGGCAAGCAGUGGCGCUGCAGCGCCCCUUCCAUGCCCGACAAGACCGUCUGCGAGAAGCACUACGUCCAGGCCAAGAAGCGCGCCGCCUCCUCCGCGCUACGCGCUACGCUCCGCAGGUCCUCCCCCUCCUACGCCGCCGCCUCCUACGCGCCGCCCCGUGAGGGCGACGCCGACGCUGACCUGCCCCUGCCAAUGGCUGUCGCGAGGCCCUUCUACGGCAGUGUCGUCGGGGAGCCUGUCUACGUGGCGGAGCCGGCGGUGCGGAGGGGGCUGCCCCUCAUCAAUGCUAUCGGCUCGCGCACCGCAGCGGAGCUAGUCGGGAGAGCCUCUGUAGGGCUGCAAGGCUGUGCCGAGGUGAAGACGAGUUGCCACCAAUGCCGGAGGAGUGUCAGUGCCGUUUGGUGUACCAGCUGUGACAGGAGGGGGUAUUGCGGCGGCUGCAUCUCCAGAUGGUACUCUGACAUUGCAAUAGAUGAUAUUCAAAAGGUUUGUCCAGCAUGCCGUGGCAUUUGUAACUGCAAAGUUUGCUUACAAGGAGACAACGUAAUUAAGGCAAGGGUGCAGGAGAUAUCUGUUGUAGAUAAGUUGAAAUAUCUUCAUAGCAUUUUGGCAUAUGUUCUUCCAGUGCUAAAGCAGAUUUACUCCGACCAAUGCUUUGAAAUAGGUGUUGAAACAAGAGCUUAUGGGCCCAAGAUGGACAUCAUUAGGGCAAAGAUGAAUUCUGAUGAGCAAAUGUGCUGUGACUUUUGCAAAGUGCCAGUGUUUGAUUAUCAUCGACACUGUCCAAGAUGUUUGUAUGACUUAUGCCUUGACUGUUGUCGAGAUAUUAGGCGCUCUCAGACAAAUGUAGUCAGAGGAGAAUAUGCUGAAAGUAAAGGUCCUGUGGUGGAGACAAAUAAAGAUAGUGCGAGUGACAGAGCAAGAUUGGAACCAUCUGCAGCAAGUGUCAACGAUAAGUUGUUCCCAGAGCCGAUAGAUGCAAAUGAUAUUGGCAUCAGAUCUUUGUUUCCUACAUGGAGAGCCAACAAUGAUGGCAGCAUCACUUGUGGGCCUCAUGAGGCUGGUGGUUGUGGCUCCUCAAAGCUGGUAUUAAGGCGAAUAUUCAAAAUAAACUGGAUUGGUAAGCUUGUAAAGAGUUCUCAAGAAAUGGUUAAUGGUUGCAAAGCACAUGAUCUUGAGAAUGGAUGCUCAUCCUGUCACGAUAGCAGAAGAUUGGACUCAAUUGGUCGCCAUAACUUUGGUCUCUCAAAAUGUUCAGAUAGUGAUGGUAUUGAUGGGAACUCUGUGUACUCUUCUGUACUGGAGAACUUAAAAUACGAGGGUAUUGUCCAUUUCCGUAAACACUGGAUAAAUGGGGAGCCUGUAAUUAUUAGGAAUGCAUUUGAGCCUUCUUUAUCAUCAAGUUGGGACCCGUUAAGCAUUUGGCGAGGAAUCCAGGAGAUCAUGGAUGAAAAAAUGGAUGAAAAUGCGAUAGUUAAAGCUGUGGACUGCUCAAACCAAUCAGAGGUGCAUAUCAAGCUCAACCAAUUUAUCAAAGGUUAUUCAGAUGGUCACAAGGGAGAAGAUGGCAAGUUAAUUAUGCUGAAACUGAAAGAUUGGCCUCCAGUGAGCGUAUUAGAGGAGUUUCUGUUAUGCCAGCGACCAGAGUUCAUUGUCAAUUUUCCCUUAGUAGACUUUAUCCAUUCUAAGUGGGGCUUUCUUAACCUUGCGGCUAAGUUACCCCCAGAUGCCCUACAGUCUGAAGUAGGCCUAAAGCUGCUUAUUGCAUAUGGAAGGCAGCAACAACCUGGUAAAAGCGAUUCAGUGACAAAUCUGAUGGUUAAGAUGGGUGAUGUGGUACACAUGUUAAUGCAUAGAGCUGAAAUGCGUUACCUAUGUCCAAAGAGUCUACAACCUGAGCAGCCGGAAAGGAUUGCCAAUGGGAUGGCAGUGCAUGUAAAUGCUCAUGCACCUGUGCAAAACUUGAAUCUGGAUAUGGGGGAACAAUCACCUGAACACACAGUUUCUAAGUCUUGCGGCCCUUCUGCAGGCUCUUCUGCUGAGCUAUCAAGUUCAUCACAUUCAGAGCAAGCAAAAACUAAUGGUGUAGAAAGAUCUCAGCCUGGUGCUCUUUGGGAUGUCUUCCGCAGGCAGGAUGUGCCGAUGCUGAAUAAAUAUUUAGCUUCUAACUGGGAGGAACUUACAAAUAACAGUCAGGCGAUGCUCUCUGUGAAGCAUCCUAUUUAUGAUCAAGCUGUAUAUCUCAGGGAGCACCAUAAAAGGGUAUUAAAGGAUCAAUAUGGAAUUGAACCUCGGACAUUUGAACAACAUAUUGGCGAGGCUGUUUUUAUUCCAGCUGGCUGUCCUUACCAAGUAAAAAAUCUCCAGUCUACGGUUCAGUUGGCUCUGGAUUUUUUGUCGCCUGAGAGUUUGCGGGAGUCGGCUCGUAUGGCCCAAGAGAUACGCUGCCUGCCAAAUCAUCAUGAUGCAAAACUGAAGAUGCUUGAGGUUGGAAAAAUAGCUUUAUAUGCAGCAAGUUCCGCUGUCAAAGAAAUUCAGAAAAUAACCCUUGAUCCCAAUAUCUGUGCCUUUCUCAGGUUUAAUCUGGAUAUCAGAUUUGAGGAUCAGAACCUAACCCGGGCAGUUUCAGAGAACUUGGCUAGAGUCACUAAACAACGAAAGGUGUCUUGUGGUUGA
rnacentral:rRNA from 1 species